GACGAACGCUGGCGGCGUGCUUAACACAUGCAAGUCGAACGGUAAGGCCCUUCGGGUACACGAGUGGCGAACGGGUGAGUAACACGUGGGUGAUCUGCCCUGCACUUCGGGAUAAGCUUGGGAAACUGGGUCUAAUACCGGAUAGGACCACGGUCUGCAUGGAUUGUGGUGGAAAGCUUUUGCGGUGUGGGAUGGGCCCGCGGCCUAUCAGCUUGUUGGUGGGGUGAUGGCCUACCAAGGCGACGACGGGUAGCCGGCCUGAGAGGGUGUCCGGCCACACUGGGACUGAGAUACGGCCCAGACUCCUACGGGAGGCAGCAGUGGGGAAUAUUGCACAAUGGGCGCAAGCCUGAUGCAGCGACGCCGCGUGGGGGAUGACGGCCUUCGGUUGUAACCUACUUUCUAGCAGGGACGAAGGGUGGACUGACGGUACCUGUAGAAGAAGCACCGGCCAACUACGUGCCAGCAGCCGCGGUAACACGAGAUA
rnacentral:rRNA from 1 species